rnacentral:misc_RNA from 1 species
GUGCUUGGCCAAACUGCAUGUAAAUGUAGUCACCGACUCAAUAAAAUCAUCAGCAAUCUCCAAAAGAAGAUCUUCGACUUCAGGAUCUAGCUUUCCCUGUGAAUCUACCUCCUGUAUCUUUCUCUUCCCAAGCAGUUGAUUAGUUGCUUCUGUUCCCUGGCUUGAACUCCCCCCAGGUGUAGUCGUACCAGAUGCUGUUGCAUCUGGUUGUGAUCCCGUCAAGCUAAGAGAUUUCUGGCCUGUGGGCCCUUGCAUCCUUGGAGAUUGCUGUUGCUGCUGCUGAUGUAAGGUUAAUUGUUGUUGCAAUUGUUGCUGUGGUUGCUGCUGUUGUAAUAGAUGUUGUUGUUGUUGCAACUGCUGUUGCUGCUGCUGUGGCUGCUGCUGCUGAUGAUGCAGUUGUUGGUGACCCAUUGAUGACUGAUGCUGUACCAGUUGGGAUAAUUUUUGUGGGUUUAAAGGCAUUGAAUUCUGGUGCAACUGAGGAGAUG